rnacentral:rRNA from 1 species
AGUAACGUGUGAGGAACCUGCCUCAAAGAGGGGACAACAGUUGGAAACGACUGCUAAUACCGCAUAAGCCCACGGCUCGGCAUCGAGCAGAGGGAAAAGGAGCAAUCCGCUUUGAGAUGGCCUCGCGUCCGAUUAGCUAGUUGGUGAGGUAAUGGCCCACCAAGGCGACGAUCGGUAGCCGGACUGAGAGGUUGAACGGCCACAUUGGGACUGAGACACGGCCCAG